rnacentral:misc_RNA from 1 species
GGCCACUCGAUCGGGAGCCUUAAGGGCAACGCGCAAACCAACAAACCCUCCCUGUGACAUGCCGACCAAGAAUGCUCGGUCGAUGCGGAGUUGAUCGAGCACGGCAAGGACGUCGUCGGCCGAAUCCCAGUA